UCAAGAAUGAAGAAUAUCUCAAAGGGGCACCUUAUAAGCUGAAGCAAGAAGAGAUUACAUCUUAUCAACAAGAACUAAUUUGAUGGAUAUCUGAACAAAGGCAAUAUUAUUAAUUAAACUUCUUCAAUACUUCCAUUUGCUUUGCCCUACCCUAUCCAUUUACAUGAAACUGCACAUUCCACAGUGUUAACUCAUAUGCAAACUGAGA
rnacentral:misc_RNA from 1 species